rnacentral:telomerase_RNA from 1 species
GCGCGAGCAAGGGGGCUUGACCCUGAGUCUCCCGAAAGGACGCACGACAGUGCGCCUGUGAACCCUAAACCUGGGAGCGAGGAGUUCCUCCUCAAAUUCCCGCCUGAACCCUUCAGGCUGAAAACUCAAACAAGGGGGUGGUUUCGAAGGGCCUUCCCCCCCUUUCAACAAAAAGAAAAAGACCCACCAGAUGAAGGCUAUUCCCCCGCCUAUCAACCAUCGAACCUUGAAAGGCUUCGCCUGCCAACACGCCGCGGUCGAGGGGCGACGCGACCCCAACCAGCGCGACGAAGACUGUUGCCCUCUAGUUGCUAAGCGGGGAAAACCGUGCGAGGUAACACUCGCAUCCCGCGACGUCGCGCCGCGUACCGGACCGACGGGUGCGGAGGCGAAGAGUCAGCGCUGCUGCAAUUUUUU